rnacentral:rRNA from 1 species
UGGGGAAUUUUGGACAAUGGGGGAAACCCUGAUCCAGCCAUCCCGCGUGUGCGAUGAAGGCCUUCGGGUUGUAAAGCACUUUUGGCAGGAAAGAAACGUCCGGGUUAAUACCCCGCGAAACUGACGGUACCUGCAGAAUAAGCACCGGCUAACUACGUGCCAGCAGCCGCGGUAAUACGUAGGGUGCAAGCGUUAAUCGGAAUUACUGGGCGUAAAGCGUGCGCAGGCGGUUCGGAAAGAAAGAUGUGAAAUCCCAGAGCUUAACUUUGGAACUGCAUUUUUAACUACCGGGCUAGAGUGUGUCAGAGGGAGGUGGAAUUCCGCGUGUAGCAGUGAAAUGCGUAGAUAUGCGGAGGAACACCGAUGGCGAAGGCAGCCUCCUGGGAUAACACUGACGCUCAUGCACGAAAGCGUGGGGAGCAAACAGGAUUAGAUACCCUGGUAGUCCACGCCCUAAACGAUGUCAACUAGCUGUUGGGGCCUUCGGGCCUUGGUAGCGCAGCUAACGCGUGAAGUUGACCGCCUGGGGAGUACGGUCGGCAAGAUUAAAACUCAAAGGAAUUG